CUUAGAAUCGAGAGUUCCUCUCACUGUACUACGCCGUCUGACCGCAAUGGCCCACAGCUGGUUCCAGUCAAAGUUGGCUGUUUACAUAUCAAUUUGGCUACUGAGCGAGGACGGAAAAUAUUUCUACUACAGAUGUUGGUGCUAUGUUUUGUACCUCAUGCAGCUCUUGUCUUUCAAAACUGUACAGCCAUGGCUCAACUGUCACACACAAUGGACGCUUCCUUAUUCCUUGACCACAAGGUGGCGGCAAUUUUGUUACAUUGUGAGUCUGUGUUGGCAAUCCAGGAUGAACGCGUCGCCGUAACCAAGUACUUGGUUCAGGGGGUGAAUGAACAAAGGUCGAAUCGCAUACAUUUGGAGCGAGUGUUUUCAUCGACGGACCAGAAGUUGCUUCACAUACAAGACACAUUACCAGAGAAGCUGAAGAAUAU